UGGGGAAUCUUGCACAAUGGGCGAAAGCCUGAUGCAGCAACGCCGCGUGCGGGAUGAAGGCCUUCGGGUUGUAAACCGCUUUCAGCAGGGAUGAAACUGACAGUACCUGCAGAAGAAGCCCCGGCUAACUACGUGCCAGCAGCCGCGGUAAUACGUAGGGGGCAAGCGUUAUCCGGAUUUAUUGGGCGUAAAGAGCGCGUAGGCGGGCUAUUAAGCGAGAUGUGAAAACUGGGGGCUCAACCCGCAGCUUGCAUCUCGAACUGGUAGCCUUGAGUCUGGUAGAGGAGUGUGGAAUUCCCAGUGUAGCGGUGAUAUGCGCAGAUAUUGGGAGGAACACCAGUGGCGAAGGCGGCACUCUGGGCCACGACUGACGCUGAGGCGCGAAAGCUAGGGGAGCGAACA
rnacentral:rRNA from 1 species